GAAACUUGAUUUUCGGUUCUGUUGAGAGAUCAUCAGCUGCAACUAAUUCCCUGGUCUUUGUUUGGCUCCUUCUUUGAUAUUCUAUAUUGGUUUGGUUGGCAGCUGGAUCUGAAAUUGACAUGGAUCGAAAGAGAAAGAUGAAGAUUGUAACAACUCUAGUUGCAGUAGAGUUAGAGAAACAACGUUUGUGUGCAUCCAUGAUGUUA